rnacentral:rRNA from 1 species
AGUGAACGCUGGCGGUAGGCCUAACACAUGCCAGUCGAACGGCAGCACAGUAAGAGCUUGCUCUUACGGGUGGCGAGUGGCGGACGGGUGAGGAAUACAUCGGAAUCUACUUUUUCGUGGGGGAUAACGUAGGGAAACUUACGCUAAUACCGCAUACGACCUACGGGUGAAAGCAGGGGAUCUUCGGACCUUGCGCGAUUGAAUGAGCCGAUGUCGGAUUAGCUAGUUGGCGGGGUAAAGGCCCACCAAGGCGACGAUCCGUAGCUGGUCUGAGAGGAUGAUCAGCCACACUGGAACUGAGACACGGUCCAGACUCCUACGUGAGGCAGCAGUGGGGAAUAUUGGACAAUGGGCGCAAGCCUGAUCCAGCCAUACCGCGUGGGUGAAGAAGGCCUUCGGGUUGUAAAGCCCUUUUGUUGGGAAAGAAAAGCAGCAGGUUAAUACCCCGCUGUUCUGACGGUACCCAAAGAAUAAGCACCGGCUAACUUCGU